ensembl:lncRNA
CCCGACUUGGGCUCUGUCUCUCUGUCAAAAAUAAAGAAAACAUGAAAAAAAAAGUUAUUAGAAAUGUUUGCCUAUCUUGCGGGACACCCGCAGGACAAAUUACUCGCAAUUCAAGGUUUUCCUGUGUGGUUUUUUCCUUCUCCUGCCAGCUGUGAAGUGAGUGUGUUGGCAGCCUUCUGGCCUCCCCUAAAACUUCAGAGCACGGCCCUGUCCUAGUUGCAGAGAUCCUGUAUUGGUCCUCUGUAGCUGCUUGUUCCUUGGCUCUGUAGAGUUUCUUCAGGGCUCUCCUCUCUUCCUCCUGCUCUGAAGCUCCCUACACAUAAAUCUCUGGUGGUUCUCCUCUCUCAGGCACUUAGUCUCACUCUUCUCUUCCUGCCCGGCUUAGACAUGGUAGCUGGAUUUUGGAAUAUUGGCUUUUUGAGUGACUUGAAAAUUCUUAGGGUACUAGUGCCAUGAACAGCCCCUAAAUUUUAAUUCUUGAUCGUGACCCAGGGUCAUCUCCCCCUACCCUCAUCCCCAGUCCUUGGGAUACAAUAGCCUAUACCCCUUGGCUUUGUGCUCUGUCCAUGGAGAAAGCUGCAAUUGCCCCAGGAUAAGCUGCUUUUCAUACUGGUUCCAGUUGCCUGAGUUAUGGAGGGAAGAUGAUAGAUGAAUCUAAGGUCCGCAUCUUUCUGUCUCUUCUGCAGGCUCCAGGCAAACUCUGUGAAUGAGCAUGUACCUUUUCUUCAUGGAUUUAUGAAGACUGCCUUUUCUAAGCCCCUGGCAAGCCCUCAAGGGUGUGCUGAAGGCCAUUGGGGAUGGAGGCAGAAUGAUGGGGGAAACGGAGGACCGCCGUGGCUGGGUUGCUUUCGUCUGUGGGUACCCUGGAGCUUGGUGGGCAGUGAAUGGGUGCCUCUGGCUUGUGUUCCAGCAGCUCCCGUGAGAGGUGAGCUGUGGCAAACACGGGAAGAAGGGUAUGUCUGCAUCCCCCCUGGUAUCAUGUGGUCCAACGCCAUGCCCACCAAACACAAAAGCAAGCAGCCGUGGAAUCUUGACUGGGUUCGUGUGAUCUGUGGAGACGGUCAAACUGUGUGAUUAUAGUUCCCAAUUAGACUUUUGUUUUGGACCCAAGGAUAAUUUAGAUUUCCUGUUAUACGCGAUGAGGAGUCCAUGCAGAUUUGUAGGAGGGGUUGAUAUGAUUUGAUUUAUAUUUAGAACACAAGUAGUGAGCCAGUUAGGAUUCGGCCAGGAGACUAAAGGCUCAUAGCAAUUUGAACAGGGAAAAUUUAAUACUGCAUACAAAUUAUUAGCUAGUUAAAGGGUAUUACCUCCUAAGACAUGUAAAGAGAGCUAUCAAGAGUACAGGAAUAAGAUGUAGGGAGCAGUCAUUUCUUACAGGGCCAAGGGAGCAUGCAUGCUAGGAACAGACUUGGAGGAGGCAUCCCUCCCCACUGCCAAGGCUGAAAUUCAUCUAGUGUGGACCAGGGAAAGGCAGAGAAGUUCACGGAGGUGAUGCAGGCUGGGCCAGCGAGCAGAAGCCACCUGCGGGAGUGGGGACGGAACUCGUGGGAGGGUUUGCUUCGCAGACCUCCAGUACACCACUGGCAAAGGAGUGGCCCGUAGGGAAGAAAGCUACGUGCAGUGCUUGGUAGGAAGAAACACUCUGGAACCAGGAAGGCAAGACUCUUGUCUUGCAGUCUCCCUCUAGCGCCCUCUACUGACAAGGCUGGC